UUGGCUAGAAGCAAGCUGCAGGUUUUCUGAGCUGUGUGGAAUAACUGUCAUUGUUUGAGGCUUGGCCGAAAAGAAGGCAUUUCAAUUUUUGCUUUUUGUUAUCUGUAAUGUUUGAACAUGGGAUGUUAAGGCUCCUGGAUUUCAAUUAAAAUCUGUUACACCUUUAUUGGGUAACACUGCUUGCCAAGAUUUGGCUCUGUUAUCUGUCAUAUUGGUUAAGAAUCAAAUUCCAAUCUUUCCCCUACUCCAGUUGCUUCAAGAGAGCAUUACCUUAUUGGGUGUCUUCAAUCUUUAAUGCCACGACAACCUUUUCUUGAAGCCAAUGGAGAUGCCUUCAUAUGGUGAGGUACUAAAGGACCCUCCAAGUAGACCCUUUUUCAGUUCCUUGGACACUAUAUGGGAAACUCUGAGCAGCAGAACUAGACUAGACUGUUUCAGGAAUGGGGUCAGUAAGAACCAAAUAAAAUUUUCAACCGUUCAUUACUAUUCAGUUGGGCUAAUGGGUGACAAACUGAAAAACAGAAUGGAGAAAACAAAAUAAUGAAAAUUGACCUCUCAGCCCAAGAAAAUAAGUUUUA
rnacentral:lncRNA from 1 species